UAUAUCGGAAAUUCCGAGAUAAGUUCUGUUUUUCUGAAUAAUAAAAAAAAACAACCUCUGUUUUUCUGAGUUAAGUUUUGUCGGGAGAAGGCGUUACCUCAGUCCUGCCUGAAGCUCUCACCCGCAUGGAGUCGGGUUGCUGCUGCAUCAGCCUGACCCUGCAACAGUGCUAAAUGAUUUCAAGUGCAACGGUGUCAAUACAGAACCAGCAAUGGCUACAUCCUCAAAUACCCCCCUCCCACAAGAUGAUGGUCUGAGGAUAUUUCUUCAGAGUCGAGGUAUUCCUGAGGAGAAUAUUCAGAAAAUGCAGCAGGAUCGUAUUGACACCUCAGUAGUUGAAGAAAUUGAUGAUGACACUUUGGCUGCCUACAUUCCAGCAUAUGGUGAUAGGAUUGCUACAAGGCGGUUCUGUAUGGGAAAACAGACAAGAGGUGGAGUUCAUUCAAAAAGACUGUCCCU